GCAAACCUCCACCAUCCCCUGCUCAGUACCCUGAAAACAGUUCUUCCAGGGAGAAAGGAAAAGGGCAGGUCCUUGUCCCCAAGAAGCACUGGUCUCACAGCUGAAAACAAAGAAGGAGUCACAGGAAGAGAUCUCGGACACACCCUAAGGGAUCCAGUUACCCUAAUGAGGUCCCAUAGUUCCACUGUCAACAAUGGUGUAUCCAGCGGCAAAAGGAAGAGCCUUCAUGAUCCACUUCCCCAAGGCCGCAUGUCUGAAUAGUGCUCGCAUAUACAGGAUCAAGUCUUCAAUGCACGAGCUUUCUGAGUGGCUACUUACUAUCUGAACUAUAGCAUCAACUCUCUAGGGAAACAAUACUGCAGAACUACAUAUGACUAGCUCCACGUGAAGGCAGAGACUUCCUUCCACAGGUAUAGAAAUAAUAAGAGAUGAACUGCAAGAAAACUAUCUGAACAUCUCCAGACUUAGUAAGAGAGCAAAAGACAAGUAACCAAUGCCUGAUGUGAUGAUUUUCUGCCUUGACUUGCCAGCAGUGAUGGACUAUGUCCUGGAAGAGUCACCACAGAACUUGCUGUCUAGACCACUGGCCAUAACCUGGUUGGAUUCUCCAUCCUUCUGGGUUCACGAUUCUACCUGAUGCUGAGUACACACUCUGCCUCAUCCUUGGUGGGUUCUCCGGCCAUCUCAGAGAGGUCAGCCUCUGUCUUCAACACCACAUGAAUGCAGGGUCUCCUUUAGCUCAGACUGGCCUCAGAUUUGCUGUGAAGUUGAAGAUAACCUUGGACUUCAGGUCAUCAUGCCUUCAUGCCCCCACGCCAAUGCUGGGAUUAUAUGUGGUUUAUGAGGUGCUGGGGAUGAAACCCAGGGCCUCAAGCAUAUUAGGCAAGGACCCUCCCCACUAACCUGCAUCACGGACUUCCUGAUUAUUCUUCCUAAGGAUCUUUGCUACUGAGAUAACAGGCCACCUUUAUAAUACUUUUUAAUAGGCUUCCUAGUGACGGGCUAAAUGAAUGCCUUUCAGAAGAGGAGCCUCUUUGCAAGUCAGAUGACUUCCAAUGAUUUGGGCAACAGAAUUGAAAGACUUUACUGAGUAGCAAGCUGAUAACUCAUUAAAAGCAAUUUUCAACAAAGAUGACUCUAUGAUUUUUUUUUUUUA